UACGGAGGGUGCGAGCGUUGUCCGGAAUCACUGGGCGUAAAGGGCGCGUAGGCGGCCUGAUAAGUAGGGGGUGAAAUCCUGCGGCUUAACCGCAGGGCUGCCUUCUAGACUGUCAGGCUAGCACAGUAGAGGCAGGUGGAAUUCCCGGUGUAGCGGUGGAAUGCGUAGAGAUCGGGAAGAACAUCAGUGGCGAAGGCGGCCUGCUGGGCUGUUGCUGACGCUGAGGCGCGACAGCGUGGGGAGCAAACAGG
rnacentral:rRNA from 1 species